GUUGUGGGGCAUGCUCCCAGGCUGCUGGUGCUUCUCCAGGGGCCCCAGAUCAGAUUCCAGUAGAUGGAGGAAAGAAACAGUCUGAUCCCAAGCUGGCAGGAUAGGUCUGUCCAGGCUGUUGUCUGCCCAUCACAGCUGCCUGUGAGGCCUAUAGGUUAAUAAUAGCAACUCUGAUGCCAGUGGAUUAAGACAGCACUGUAGGAGGUGUUUAUUUUUACACGCUGGCGUCAGUAUCAAGUUCUACUGGUUACUGCCCAAAUCUAGGGCAGCUUCCUGCUACAGGAGUGGCCUCAGGCUUCUCCAGGAUGCUAAGUUGGAUUCUGGAGGAAACAAGCCUUGUUGAAACAGUUUAGUAUCAACAGGGACAGGGAAAGGGAAAAAGGAACAAACAGAGCUGUCAUAUGUCCAGCUGUCUGGUCCCAAAUCUUCGGAACCAGGUGGACCUCAAUUGAGAGCUGUUGUUCACGGCAUUUUCCUGAGUCAGGUAGGAAUGCUGAAGUGCAAAGAAAGCAGCCAAGCAGCCAAGCACACAAUAACAGUGACUCCAUCAUCUUCCUGCCUAAGGCUGACUCAUAACCAUCAUCAGAGACACAAAAUAUCAACAUCUCGAGGAGCAGGAAGAGCACAGGCUCCGGACGCGCAGGCUCAGCUGCCAUGGCUCACGGGCCUAGCCGCUCCACGGCAUAUGGGAUCUUCCCGGACCAGGGCACGAACCCGUGUCCCCUGCAUCAGCAGGCAGACUCUCAACCACUGUGCCACCAGGGAAGCCCCUACACAACACUGUAAAUGAACUACACUUCAAUAAAAAAUAAGCGGCAAAAAAUUUAAAUGCUAUAAAUUCUUUGGAUAAAGUAUUUUAGAAAUAUAACAACUGUCAUUCAUGCAUAUAGGUAGAGAGCCCUGGCCUUAUGUAUUUUCCUUCUUCUAGGUCACAGUGGCCAUGUUGGGAAGUGAACCUGGUCUGUGCUUGGAGGUACAGUUCCUUUCUUUCAGGCCUAUAAUCCCCACCACUGGUUUGAGGAACGGUUGAAACAGUUAGGAAUCUGUUUAUCUAGAUACAAGUUGUAAAGUGGCUCUGUCCCAGAAAACAUCCUGAGGGCGGGACUUCACUGGUGGCGCACUGGUUAAGAAUCCACCUGCCAAUGCAGGGGACACGGGUUCGAGCCCUGGUCCGGAAGAUCCCACAUGUCGCGGAGCAAUGAAGCCUGUGCGCCACAACUACCGAGCCUGCGCUCUAGAGCCCACGAGCCACAACUACUGAGCCUGCGCGCCUAGAGCCCCUGCUCUGCAAGAAGAGAAGCCACCGCAAUGAGAAGCCCGUGCACUGCAACGAAGAGUAGCCCCCGCUCGCCGCAACUAGAGAAAGCCUGCAUCCAGCAACGAAGACCCAACACAGCCGAAAAUAAAUAAAUAAAUAAAUAAAUUUAUUACCAAAAAAAAAAAAAAUCCCUACCUGAAUUGCUCACCUGUCAGCAGAAGGCAGUGAAAGCAAGUCCUCUACAUAAACUCAUGGGCUGAUGAGAUUCUCCUUAAAGGGUCUAAUUAUUUCCAGACAUGUAUCCCAGGAGACCCUAUCCAAGUCCCAUAGCUUCUGCCGUAGAAACGCCUCUCUAGUCUAUCCUCUCUUCUAAUUCCUACAAUCAGUGCUCUAAUUCUAGGCUCUCCUUCAACACCUCUUUCGAGGACUUUAAUUCAGUCAGUCUUUGGGCAGAUUCCUAUGGCCAGGAAGUGGUAAACAAAAUAGAUACUAUCCCUGCCCUCAUGAAGUUUACAAUCUAGUGGAGGAAGGCAGACAAACAAUCACAUAAAUAAAAAUAUAAUUACAAAGUGUGAUAAAUGCCAUGAAAAUAAAGUACAGAGUAUUAAGAGGAUCUGAUUAAGACUGACUAAGGGCUUGAUUAAGAGGUCAGGGAAGGCCUCUCUGGGAAACUGAUGUUUAAGUUCAGCCUUGAAAGGUGAGUUGAAGGGAAUUUAAACAGGUGAAAAGUUGGGGACAACAUUACAGGCAGAGGAAAUAACAUGUGUGAAAGGGCCUGAGACAGGAAAGUGGUUGGUGUCUUAGAAAAACUGAAAGAAAACGAGCGUCGUUGAAAGUGUCCAUUUUAUCUGGCAACCGUGAGUUCGCUGGUGAUCUUGACAUAAACAAUUUCAAGGGUGUGGUUAGUGGAAAUGAAGCUAGACAGCAGAGGGAGCAAAAGUGAAUGGAAAAUUGAGCAGACAGUCUGGGUGGUCAAAAAAGGUUGGCUGUUAAAUGAGACAGUCAAUACCCAGAGGGUGAUGUGGUGUCAGGGGAUUUUUAAAUUAAUAUCUAUUUUAUCAAAUUAAUAUAUGCACAUGGUUACAAAGAUAAAUUGUAGUAUAAAGUUUAUGAUGGAAAAUAGCAGUCCCCAGCUCCACCCCUUUCUACCUCUGUGUCCUUCUCCAGAGGCCACUACUUUCAAAUCUUUUAGCUGUCUCAUCUGGCAUUUAUGUUCAUGUUUAUAAAUCACACAUGUAUUUAAUUAUUUCUUGAUUUUAAACAUUCUCUUGACUUCCUACAUCCACCACCUUCCUCGCAAUUUCUUUUUUUUUUUUUAAUUUUAAUAUUUAUUUAUUUGGCUACACUGGGUCUUAGAUGCAGCAUGCAGGAUCUUUUUAAGUUGAUCUUUGUUGCAGCACGCGGGAUCUAGUUCCCUGACCAGAGAUCGGACCUGGGCCCCCAGCAUUGGGAACACAGAGUCUUAACCACUGGACCACCAGGGAAGUCCCCACAAUUUCUGAUUUAAUUAAUAUCCAGUGUUUGCUAUGACUUGGUAGUCUGUGGACCCUUAUUAUUACUGUAUAAUUUAUAAUUUAAUUUUACUACUAGACUUUCUUUUGUUUAGUUUUCUAUAUAUUUGUCCCUAAAUCUUCACAGAUUCUCUAGCGGAAUAGUAAAAAGCGCUCUCAAUCUAAAUCUAACUUUCCAUAUGGUCAAACACAGUUCCUUUCCCCCCGCCCUGGAACAUAAUCCUUCUGGAACUUUCUUUAAUGAUACAUUCUGAAUUGACUCUCCUCUCUGGCUUACAACACAACUUUAUGCUGGACCUCUCUCUCUCAUCAUGCUAGGAAUUUCCUUUGCCUCUCUUCUGUUAGUUGCCCUGUGUUCUAGAUCCCAUGAUUUCUUCUUUCUUGUUGGGAAGUCCCUGUAUGUAAACUUUUAAAAAAAGGACAGAUUAAAAAUUUCUCUAUAUCCCUAGUUUUCUAGAUUUUUAUGAUGAGGUACCCUGGGGUAGGCUAUUUUUAUUUGUUGUGCUGGGCACUCAGUGGGCCCUUUCAAUUUGGAGACUUGUGUCUAGGAAAUACACUUGUACUCUUUCUUUUAUUUUUUUAUAACUUUGCCUCCACUGAUGUUGAAGAUUUAGAAAGAGAGGAAUUAAAUGAUGAAGCAACAUCCCUGAGAAGCAGUAGUGGCUCAAUAAUUACUAUAUAGGGCUUCCGUGGUGGCGCAGUGGUUAAGAAUCCGCCUGCCGAUGCGGGUUCGAGCCCUGGUCCGUGAAGAUCCCACAUGCCGCGGAGGAACUAAGCCUGUGCGCCACAUCUACUGAGCCUGUGCUCUAAGAGCCCAUGAGUCACAACUACUGAGCCCACGCGCCGCAUCUACUGAAGCCCGUGCGCACUGGAGCCCGUGCUCCACAACAAGAGAAGCCACCGCGAUGAGAAGCCCGCGCACCGCAACGAAGAGUAGCCCCCGCUCGCCCCAACUAGAGAAAGCCCGCGCGCAGCAACGAAGACCCAACGCAGCCAAAAAUAAAUUACUUGAUUAAUUAAUUAAUUUAAAAAGUUUACAUACAAAUAUCAGAAAUCAGAAUGGCAUUCGGCUUAACAAUGAUGGAAUCUAAUUAGUAAGCAGUGGAGAGUACUUUCAGAUUUCUGAGAGGAAUUGAUUUCUAGCCUAAGGUUUCAUGCACAGCCAAA